rnacentral:rRNA from 1 species
GUGGGGAAUUUUGGACAAUGGGCGCAAGCCUGAUCCAGCAAUGCCGCGUGUGUGAAGAAGGCCUUCGGGUUGUAAAGCACUUUUGGCAGGAAAGAAAUAGUGCGUGCUAAUACCAUGCGCGAAUGACGGUACCUGCAGAAUAAGCACCGGCUAACUACGUGCCAGCAGCCGCGGUAAGACGUAGGGUGCAAGCGUUAAUCGGAAUUACUGGGCGUAAAGCGUGCGCAGGCGGUUUUGUAAGACAGGUGUGAAAUCCCCGGGCUCAACCUGGGAACUGCACUUGUGACUGCAAGGCUAGAGUGUGUCAGAGGGAGGUGGAAUUCCGCGUGUAGCAGUGAAAUGCGUAGAGAUGCGGAGGAACACCGAUGGCGAAGGCAGCCUCCUGGGAUAACACUGACGCUCAGGCACGAAAGCGUGGGGAGCAAACAGGAUUAGAUACCCGAGUAGUCC